CUUUUGCCAUCGGAGUCCAGUUUCUGCUCAUGAGAGUGCUUGCCUGGUUACCAGCCCCAGCCCUGUUCGGCAUGACCAUCGACAGCUCCUGUAUCUGGUGGAAACAUGCCUGUGGCAACCGGCUGGGCUGUGGUUACUAUGACAAUAACACCCUGAGGAACAGAUACCUGGGUCUGCAGGUGGGCUUCAAGGUGAUGGGGAUCUUCUUGCUGGGACUGGCUGGA